rnacentral:rRNA from 1 species
AUUGAACGCUGGCGGCAUGCCUAACACAUGCAAGUCGGACGGUAGCACAGAGGAGCUUGCUCCUCGGGUGACGAGUGGCGGACGGGUGAGUAAUGUCUGGGGAUCUGCCCGAUAGAGGGGGAUAACCACUGGAAACGGUGGCUAAUACCGCAUAACGUCGCAAGACCAAAGAGGGGGACCUUCGGGCCUCUCACUAUCGGAUGAACCCAGAUGGGAUUAGCUAGUAGGCGGGGUAAUGGCCCACCUAGGCGACGAUCCCUAGCUGGUCUGAGGGGAUGACCAGCCACACUGGAACUGGGACACGGUCCAGACUCCUACGGGAGGCAGCAGUGGGGAAUAUUGCACAAUGGGCGCAAGCCUGAUGCAGCCAUGCCGCGUGUAUGAAGAAGGCCUUCGGGUUGUAAAGUACUUUCAGCGGGGAGGAAGGCGAUAAGGUUAAUAACCUUGUCGAUUGACGUUACCCGCAGAAGAAGCACCGGCUAACUCCGUGCCAGCAGCCGCCGUAA